CGCGCGGCGCAUGCGCGCUGCGCCCCGAGCCGCGAACCCCCCGGCAGAGGCGGGGAGGCGGGAGCAGGGAGGAGGAGGGGGAUGCGCCCGGCGGCCGCCGCCGCCAUAUUGCGGAGCUGUCAGCGCCCGCCGCGCUCGGCGCCUCGUCCCCGGCGGCGCCGCCAGCAGCACCGGGGCGGCCCCGCAGCGGCGGGCGGGGGCUGCGGGGGUGGGCAGCGAGCGCCCUGAGCCCUGCGGAGCCGGCAGCGCCUCGCCCCCAGACCCCCCCGCCGGCCGGGGGAGCGCGGCCCCAGUCGUGUAAUACAAGGAGAAACAAAUAGUGCAGUGGCCCAACCAGGGAGUGAACACCUUGAGAACAGUUGGACUCAAGAACUCGAGCCAGCUCACGUGGAGUCUGAUGCGAAUGGCAAGUUCAUGUUAGCAGUUUUAUUUUGUGGAACUGCUGCUAAGAGCCUUACCUGCUUUAUUCAGAAAACACAAUACCUGCUCCUGGAAUGGGUUGUAACCGGGAUUUCACUUGUGACAGUCACCUACCAGUGGUAUUUCCAUGGAGAAGUUUAUUGAAACAGCAGAGUACUUGUACUGGCCACGUUUUUGCAAUUUCCAUUUUUACUCAUUUAUCAGAAGUGUGUGGGAAGAGUGGACGUUGUCAUUGUAGAACUCUUCAAAAUCUUACAGUUAUUUCGUCUGCCCCAGUUGUGAGCACUUUAAAAUGUGAAGAUGGGAGUUUAUAUUCAGAUUAGUAUGUAAGUUAUACAGCACAUCUGUCACGGACUGGUAAAACUGCAAGCAUUGCAUAAAUACUCCUUGGCUGGGCUGUGUUCCUUUCUAUUUGACUGCGGUGCUGCCAAGUUCCCAUUUGUGCUUUUGAAGUUACCAGCAUCUCCCGUUUGGAAGAAACUCUUGCCUCUUCAAAAUAUAUUUAGCUAUAAAUACAUUUAAGGCAUAACAAUUGUACUGGCUGCAUGGGAAUUAUCUAUCAGAGACCCAGGAAGCUCGUCUUUAGUAUCUUGGGGGGAAGAAUUGGGAGGAAAUGGUGUUCUUAGGAAGGUGUAGGUACAGUACUCAAAAUGGUGGUAUGGAGAACUGUCAUACCCAGCAAUGGUCACGUCUCUAUUUUAUUGUUACAGAACUCAGCUUUUUCUCCCCUUUUUUGUGAGAUAGCUUGCAGGUUUGCCUACCUCCGAGACAAUCGCGCAGACCGCAACUCCUCGGCUGUCUGAAAAAGAUGUAUGCGGAGGCAGAGCCUGUGGUGAAUUAACUUCUUUAUUGGACUUCUGCAAGCGUGUCAUUAGGGAGCUGUUAGGCUUAGUGGAAAAGAUGAUUGCCCUGCAGGUACUCGCAGGCAGCUUUGGAGUGAAAUGUUCUGGGAGAAAGCUGAGACCAGUCAGUCAGGUACAGUGGCCUGUACGUUUCCUGCUGCUGCCUCUGAAGCUAUUAGGCACCUCAAAAAUUGGAACGGUACAAGACUGAAAAGAAAAAGUGCGUUUAGUUUUAAGAAGUUCCUUCUUUGGAUGCAGCCCAGAGAGCCAACCAUACCCUGGGCUGCAUCAAAAGCAGCGAGGCCAACAGGGUGAGGGAGGGGAUUGUCCCCCUCUGCUCUGCUCUUGUGAGACCCCACCUGGAGCCGUGCGUUCAGCUCUGGGCACAAGGACAGGGACCUG
rnacentral:lncRNA from 1 species